AGGGUUUGAUCCUGGCUCAGAACGAACGCUGGCGGCGUGGCUAAGACAUGCAAGUCGAACGGGCCGGUUUUUUGAGCAAUCAAGCGACCGGCCAGUGGCGAAAGGGUGCGUAAUGGAUAGGUAACGUGCCUUGGGCUUCGGAAUAGCGCCGUUACGGGAAACCGUAACUACCGAAAGGGGCGAUAAUACCGGAUAAUGUCAGUGACCGCAUGGUUGCUGACCAAAGAUUCGUCGGCCUGAGAGCGGCCUAUCUCCUAUCAGCUUGUUGGUGAGGUAACGGCCCACCAAGGCUAAGACGGGUAGCGGGACUGAGAGGUUGACCCGCAACAUCGGGACUGAGACACUGCCCGGACCUCCACGGAGGGCUGCAGUAACGAAUAUUGGGCAAUGGGCGAAAGCCUGACCCAGCGACGCCGCGUGUGGGAUGAAGUCCUUCGGGAUGUAAACCACUUUUAGGUUUAAGAAAGCCCCGAGCAAUCGGGGUUGAUCUAUGCCAGAAAAAGUCACGGCUAACUCUGUGCCAGCAGCCGCGGUAAGACAGAGGUGGCUAGCGUUGUUCGGUGUCACUGGGCUUAGAGCGUGUGUAGGUGGAAAGGUACGCGUCUUGUGAAAUCCCCCGGCUCAACCGGGGAAUGGCUCGACGAACCGCCUUUCUUGAGGCAAGUAGGGGUGCGCGGAACUCUUGGUGGAGCGGUGGAAUGCGUAGAUAUCAAGAGGAACGCCGGAGGUGAAGACGGUGCACUGGGCUUGUCCUGACACUGAGACACGAAAGCGUGGGGAGCAAACAGGAUUAGAUACCCUGGUAGUCCACGCCCUAAACUAUGCCUACUAGGUUGUAGAGGUUCUGACGCCGCUACGGCCGAAGCAAAAGUGUUAAGUAGGCCGCCUGGGGAGUACGGUCGCAAGGCUAAAACUCAAAGGAAUUGACGGGGGCUCACACAAGCGGUGGAGCAUGU
rnacentral:rRNA from 1 species